GCCGAUUGUCCAAAACCGGGCUCCGAGUUCAAGCGGCGAAGUGCGAAUUUUUCAAGGAGAGCCUUGAGUUUCUGGGGCAUCGAAUUGACGCUAAGGGCAUCUACCCCUCGAAAGCAAAGGUUGAGGCCAUCCACCAGGCUCCUGCUCCGAAGAACAAAAAGGAACUGCAAGCCUUUUUGGGAAAACCCAGGACCAUGGAAACGCAGAUUGCCUGAGUAGGUUGCCGGCUCCCUUAACCCGACAGGAGACUGAAGUACCGGGUGACAUACUCCUACUGGAAGCUGUGGAGUACCCUCCAGUGAGCGCACGAGAAGUGGCAGCGUACACCAGCAGUGAUCCCCAGCUGUCCCAAGUGAAGAAAUGGAUCCUGGAGGGUUGGCCACGCGAGCGAGUAGCCCCGGAGUACUCUGCGUAUGAGCACUCUACGCCACACUCCGAAACCGGCAAAUCACCUGCAGAAGUCAUGCUGGGUCGGAACUUCAGGACGGCCAUAUCGACCCUUCAACGGGACGAGAGCGAAGCAAGAUGCCUGCUGCCGCCUCCACAACGUGGGUUCCUGCCGGGUGAUACUGUGUACGCGAGAAACUUCCGGCCCGGCCCCGAGUGGGUUCCUGGUCGUGUGUUGCGACGCUUGGGCCACAUCAUGUACGAGCUGCGGACUGCAGACGGUACU